CAUUCAUCAGUGAUGUUCCUAAAUAAAUGUCUGAACAUAUGACAACCUGUGAUUCCCACUUGUUGCUGAGAUAAGUG